AUCACCAGGAAACAUGCUCCAUACAACGGUCGAUUGGCAAAAAGAUGUUUUGGGCUUUCCUACUUUCCAGUUUUGAUUUGAUAUUCGCACAUACGUGACUGUGCGGAUCGGAACUACUGCCAAGACGUGGUGCCCUCGGCAGAGCCAUACCGCACCGAACCGGCAGCACGGCUGCUGUGCACAUCGGCGUGCACGGGCACGAGCGCUGCGCUGCCUGCAGCGCGGGAGGGAACAGCCCCAGCUAUGCAGGGGGCUCAGGGCGUAGGAGCCAGCUUCGCCCUCCUUCACAAGUACCUGAUGUGCAUGCUUGAUAGCGUCAUGCUUUCCAGCAGAAGGCCGCAGAGCUAGUUAUCGAUUACUGUGAGGUCACAGAAAGCAUGAAAUGCCAGCUGGGGUUAGUGUUAUUAACGGGGGUCAUAUGGAGAGAUCCGUAGAUUAAAUGCAUGCAAAGAGCCAGCAAAAACUCACACCCACGACAAGACUAAAACUUUCUAAAACAAGUCACCCUGAAGUGGUACCAUUCACUCUUUCAUUACACAAUUCAGAAGGAAGCAGAUCUGGAAGCUUUUGGCUUCUCACCUCAGGAUCGCUACAACAUCUCCUUGUGGAAAACUCUGCAUUUCUACCUCAGAGCUUUAAACCCUGUGUAUGCACACGUGUGGCCCGCAUACACACACACAACGCACUCUGCCCCUCUUUUUUUGUGUAGUACGACUACUCGGUAGGAUGGCUGCAUCAUUUUAUCCGUGUUUUGUAUUUUUUUCAUUCUCUCUAGCCGGACACUUCUUUUAAAGCCCAAAAAUAGAUUCCUAGAAACCUAAAACCCACCAACAAACAGACAUUCUCGCCACCCACUCUGCUACUACAUUCUGCUUCUGGAAGCAAAAAGUAUCAAACAAAGCAAACUUGCAUCAACAUCAACGAAAAUAAGCUGUCAUAAAGGAAAGGUUUCAGCCGACUCCCACAGCAGAAUGCCUGUCUUGCAAGCCUACCACAUUUCAGCCUCCCUGCCUGUCCUAAAGGAAAACUGACUGAAUUGUAUUCGAGCGUGAUUUCUAUCACCGGCGUGAGGGAGGAAGGCACCUCUCUGCUGAGAAAAGAUACUACUGUAGCGGGAGCACAGAAGAGAGGACAUCAACAACACACUAAGCAGCUGCUAUUUCGGGCUAAUCUUUCUCUGAGAUGCAAGCAAAUAGUUUGCCUCAAAUGCUUUUCACAAACCGAGGAGCGUCAGAGUUGCAUCCAAGAGAGGACACCAAGACAUAUCCCUGAGCCUGGAACAUAAAACAAAGACGUGAAGGUAAGGCCUGUCACCUUGUGCCCGCCGAAAUCCUCAAGCAAGAGCAGAAUUUCCCCAGCCAAUGCUUAAAAACGACUGGCCUCCUGUCAUCUCGGGCUUUAAUAAAUCUUGCUUGGGAAGUGCCAUUCGUUUCUGUCUGAAGUUAACCCGUAGGAUGUACGUACCGGGCAUGUAACAGUUUUCCCCACUUCACUGCAAGCAAAAUCGUUUUUGCACAAGGUAUGGAAAUUCAUGGAGCUGCUGUAAACCCCGACGAACAAGUAACAAGCAGAUGGACAGGCACACUAAACAAAACGCCUUAAGGGUAUUACAGAUGUUCCUAACAAAAUGGAAGUGGCAUUAAAAAACAUUAAACUGAGAAGCAGUACACACCUUUAACGCAAUUUUGACUCUUUUAAUCUUUUUGACCUUUUCAACUGUCUUUGUGCCGAAAAGUGCGGAAAGCAGAUUGAAAGAGCGUUAGUACGAGGGCUGGAGGGUCGCCGGCAGAUCAACAACAGUCAGAAUAUUCAGUGGGAAAUAAAGGACCGGGCAGGGAGGC